AUGGGUUUCUUCCUACUAGAGUUCGAUUCUGUUCUUAACUGAAUGGAGUAGCUAUCUUUCGGGGUGGUCAGUUGGUUGUUAUAUCUCCACUAAUAAGCAGAGAGGGGUUAAACCUUUGAAGUAAGUUAUGUGGGUCAAGGUAUAAUGAUUAAUUGGAGUUCUAGUUCAUUUACUUUGAGAAAAUUAGAGUGUUUAAAAGCAGCCUCUUGGGGCACUGAAUACAUUAGCAUGGGAUAAUAAAAUAGGAUCUUCACAAUAUAUUUUAUUGGUUUAAAUUGGAUAUGAAGAUAAUGAUUAAUAGGGACAGUUGGGGGUAUUCAUAUUGGGUGGUUAGCGGUGAAAUGCUCGGAUCCAUUCAAGAUGAACUAAAGCGAAAGCAUUUACCAAGGAUGUUUCAUUAAUCAAGAACGAAAGUUAAGGGAUCGAAGACGAUUAGAUACCGUCGUAGUCUUAACUAUAAACUAUAGCCG
rnacentral:rRNA from 1 species